CGUCAGCUCCUGCUCGAUUUUCUUCUCCAGGAACUCCUGUUUCUUGCUUAACAUCUCUUCCGUGUCCCGCAGCCGCUGGAUGGCCUCCUGGGGGGUCGGGCCGCCCUUGCCGGCCUUACCCCCUCCAGCCCCGAACAGCUUCCCGAACACCGACAUGGUUGCUGCUCGCCGCGCCGGCCUUCGCCGCCCGCUCCGGCUCGGCUCGGCUCGGCUCGGCUCGGGUCGGCUCCGGCGCCCGCUCCCAGUCCCGCCGCUCCCUGCCGCCGCAGGCCUCUCCUCCGCCUCCGCCUCCGCCCCGCAGCUGGGCCCGGCCGCGCCACCUCCCACAGGCCCCCACGCCCGGCCCGGCAGGCGUCAGGGCAACGCGCCACUGACUACAACUCCCAGUGGGCAACGCGCCGGCCGCGCCUCAAAUCUAAUAGGGGGAAGCGUGCUGCAUGCCGGGAAGCUAUAGUCUUCCGGCUUCAGGCGCUCCCCGGCGCGUCUUUUGCUGUAGCUGGGGUCAAAGGGCGUGUGGCAUUCUGGGAAAUGUAGUCUCCUUGGCCUGCGCUCUGUAGGAGUGGCAGAACAGUAAGAGAAAUGACAAAGCAAGAGGAACCUAAUACUCUUCCUCAUUGGCCUUCCUGUCUCCAUCUUUAUUCCUUCCAGCUCAUUCUCUACAUGACACUGUGAAUGCCAAACUGUCUGGAGGCUGCCAUGAGCGGCCAAUUUGUGAUCUCUGCUUUACCUGAAUUAUUUCCGUGAAUUGUGACAUCAACCUCGCCAGAUAAGAAAGAAGACUGAAGUUCAGAGAGGUGAAGGGACUGGCUCAGGGGCUACCCCUAUGGUUGCGGGAGCUAAGAUUCCAGCCCAGCAGCGUGAUCCAGAGCCCAUCUGAGCUACCCAGAUCUUCCUGCUGUUAAACCCGUCCUGGGGCAGCUCUUGCCUGAUGGGCUACCUGAGGAACCCACAGGAAAUCAAGGGAGGUGCCUGCAAAGUUGCCGUGGGGUCACAGCCUGCCCUUUGGAAGGGGCUGUUUCUGGGCUGCUGUGACUUCCUGCCAUUAUUUCCUCUCUGUUCUCCCUCUGGAAUGAAUAAAGUACUUCUGAAAAACCAUCAACCCAGUCGAUACGGAAAUGCUGGUCCCUACAAUAGAAUGCUCUGUGGUCAUUAAAAAGAUUAAAAAGGUCAAUCUGUGUUUCCUGAUCUGGAAAGAUCUCCUGGACAUACUGCUAGUGGGGAAAGAAAGCAGUAGAACAGCUUAACACAAUCUCGUCUUUCUUAGAAAAAAAUAUAAUCCCUACUGGAUAUGUAAGCUCCAACAAAAAAAAAAGAAAGAAAAAAUACAACCUGCACACCCCAAAAAAGCCCUGGCCAUGUGUCUCUGUAAAUAAACUGAAGAUGCAGGAAGAAAGAUGGGGAGGUGUAGGGAAAGGACAGACCAAAGUGUCAGUGGCAACUACAACUUGAAGGGGAAAUUUAACAUUUUACUUUAUGUACUCCUAUAUUGUUUCCAUUUUUAUAAUAACCAUGUAUUAUUUGUGUGGUUUUUUUUGUUUUGUUUUGUUUCGUUUUUUGUAUUUUUUUUUUUUUUUUUGAAACAGAGUCUUGCUCUGUUGCCCAGGCUGGAGUGCAGUGGUUUGAUCUUGGCUCACUGCAACCUCCAUCUCCUGGGUUCAGGCAAUUCUCCU
rnacentral:lncRNA from 1 species